rnacentral:misc_RNA from 1 species
GAUUGGUAGCAGCUGGACAAACAGUAAGCAUUUAUUCACUAAUAAUUGUUUAUAAAUGCUGUUUUUAAUGUAAUUUAUGGCAUUUAUAAUUUGUUGUUAGAUGAAUGCUAAGCUAGAACUUUCUGGCAUUUUUUAAUUACCUUCCUUUCUCUGUUUCUUUUGUUUAGUGGACUACAGUGGUUAUAUGAAUAGCAUUAUUUUACCUGACAUAGUUUGAAUUUUUCAAUGCAUUCUAGGGCAUUGAUGUUUUAAAUGGUAUU